CAAGGGAUCGUGCACAAUGGGCGAAAGCCUGAUGCCGCGACGCCGCGUGAGGGAUGACGGCUUUCGAGUUGUAAACCUCUUUUCUCAGGGAAGAGAGAGGACGUCACCUGAGGAAUAAGUCAUGGCUAACUACGUGCCAGCAGCAGCGGUAAUACGUAGGUGGCAAGCGUUGUCCGGAAUUACUGGGCGUAAAGGGUCCGUAGGCGGUUCGGUCAGUCUUCUGUGAAAGCUCCAGGCUCAACUUGGAGUCGUCGGGAGAAACUGCCGAACUAGAGACUGUCAGAGGCAGGUGGAAUUCCCGGUGUAGUGGUGAAAUACGUAGAUAUCGGGAGGAACACCAGUGGCGAAAGCGGCCUGCUGGGGCAGUUCUGACGCUAAGGGACUAAAGCGUGGGGAGCGAACCGG
rnacentral:rRNA from 1 species